rnacentral:piRNA from 1 species
UUCAGUAUUCAAAUAGGACAUGA